rnacentral:lncRNA from 1 species
AAUCAACGGCUUGAUCGUCGAUCAUCGAAUCAACGACUCGAUCGUCGAUCGUCGAACCGACGGCCUCGGCCUCUGAAGGCAAAAGGCCCCGACCAACACGGCUCGAUCGUCGAUCAUCAAAUCAACGGCUCGAUCGUCGAUCGUCGAAUCAACGGCUCGAUCGUCGAUCGCCGAAUCAACGACUCGAUCGUCGAUCGCCGAAUCAACGGCUAGAUCGUCGACCAACAUGGCUCGAUCGUCGAUCACCGAAUCAAUGAC